GAUGAACGCCGGCGGCGUGCUUAACACAUGCAAGUCGAACGAUGAACCUCACUUGUGGGGGGAUUAGUGGCGAACGGGUGAGUAACACGUGAGUAACCUGCCCUUGACUCUGGGAUAAGCCUGGGAAACCGGGUCUAAUACUGGAUACGACCUUCUGGCGCAUGCCAUGUUGGUGGAAAGCUUUUGUGGUUUUGGAUGGACUCGCGGCCUAUCAGCUUGUUGGUGGGGUAAUGGCCUACCAAGGCGACGACGGGUAGCCGGCCUGAGAGGGUGACCGGCCACACUGGGACUGAGACACGGCCCAGACUCCUACGGGAGGCAGCAGUGGGGAAUAGUGCACAAUGGGCGCAAGCCUGAUGCAGCGACGCCGCGUGAGGGAUGAAGGCCUGCGGGGUGUAAACCUCUUUCAGUAGGGAAGAAGCCGGCUUUUGGGUUGGUGACGGUACCUGCAGAAGAAGCGCCGGCUAACUACGUG
rnacentral:rRNA from 1 species